rnacentral:rRNA from 1 species
UACGUAGGGACCGAGCGUUGUCCGGAUUCAUUGGGCGUAAAGAGCUCGUAGGCGGCCACUCAAGUCGAAUGUGAAACCUCGAGGCUUAACCUCGAGCCUGCAUUCGAUACUGGGCGGCUAGAGUCUGGUAGGGGGAUCUGGAAUUCCUGGUGUAGCGGUGGAAUGCGCAGAUAUCGGGAGGAACACCAGUGGCGAAGGCGAUCUUCUGGACGGAUACUGACGCUGAGGCGCGAAAAGCUAGGGGAGCAAACGGG